GGCAUGGGUCUCCCAAAUAUUGAUCUCUAUUACAAGGCGGCAAUCACUGGUCCUAUAGUGGCAGUCUUCCAUCAAUAUACCUCACCACCCUCUUGAGUGCAAUUAGAGGCAUCUUACACUGAGGGGUAUGAUAUCACCGUAAUAGCGGGAAUAAACAAGCCACACAGGAAAAAAUUCCAAACGAUGCUCCCGAAAACAUCCUUGACGCUAAAAGAAUGGGACAAAUAUACCCAAACUCUCG